AGAAGAUUCAUUUUCAGGUCCUAAAAGCCUAGUAAUGUCUACAUAAAAACUUUAAUUUCUCAUCCAAUUUGAAGGGUCUCCCCUCUACUCAGCCUAUUUCUGACACCCUCUGCCUCAAGGACUUGUAAUGAGGAAGGGGAAGCAAGGUUGUGAACAGUCUUAUGGAGAUGAUCACAUGGGGAGGAAAUCAAGCCUCUUGCAGUCCUCCUGAGCCUGGAAGAAGAUCCUUUAGUCCCAGGAGGUGCUGAAAUGUUCAAAGCUGGCAUGUAAUGCAGUGGGACAGAAAGAUCUCUUUGGUAAUCAUUUGAUUGGAGCAGGAGGAGAUUCCUGACAGGAAGAGCACAUAGGAUGCAUGGAAAUCACCCAGGCAAGAUAAGAGCCCUGACUGAUAGACUCUUCACCUUAACUGUGAUAUAAAAUGCAAAGUACAAAUUUCACUGGAAUAAGACUUUUUACUUCAACUGCAACAACACUACUGAUAUUCAGAAUUUGGGCAUCUGAUAUGGGCUUCUAUGAAUUAUGGUGCUCAUGAGGCCAAAAGCUUUAAACCAUGUAAUACCUUUCAAGGGUAACUGCACAUUCUCCAGCUACCCACUAUGUACAAGGUAAUCAAUGUUUCAUUGGAUUUAGCAGAUGUAAAUGUUGGCCCCAAAAUGUGCAGCAGACAACUGUGAAUGCCAUGUACACUAGUACUUCCAUGAGGAAAUAAAAGAGAUAACUAGAAAAGGUCACUUUAACAUAUUUACGUACUAAUAGACUUUCCUCUGUGCUCUAUUUAAAAUUAAAUGUCUAUGCUGGACACUUCAAUAUAACCUCUAGUUGUAAGCAAAUAUCAUUGGAUUUUUACUUAGCUUUCUAUCACAGCAAAAGUCUUACUCGUAACUGCUAGUUUAUUUUACCAUUUCUUCCUCUAAACUGAGAUCCUUAGAGCCUUUGUGUUUUUCCAUGUACUCCUUUCCAUCAUUAAGCACAGUACUUGACACCUAAUAAACAUUCAGUGUAAGAUUUUUCGUUUUUUUUUCUGAUGAGUGGCUAAAUCAUAGAUUCAUAAAUCUAAAUUUCCAAAUAUUAUUUCUGCCUGUGGGCAGUGCCAUUAAGAAGUCAUUAUCUAGGGACACUUGGGUAGCUCAGUUGGUUAAGUUUCGAACUUCAGCUCAGAUCAUGAUCUCACAGUUCAUGAGUUGGAGACCUGUGUCAGGCUCUGUGCUGGAGCCCGCUUUGGAUUCUGUGUCUCCCUCUCUCUCUGCCCCUGCCACAUUUGCUUGCUCUCUCUCUCUCUCAAAAAUAAAUAAACAUUAAAAAAAUUAAAAAAAAGAGGUCAUUAUCUAAUAAGGUGCCUUUUGAUACAUACACUGACAAAAACAAAUUCUGUUCACAUAAUUGAACUUUAGUGGAAACUAUGGAUCAACUCCUUUCAGUAUGUACAUUGUAUUGAAAUAAGACAAAUUCUACUUUGACCAAUAAAUUAUUAAUUACAAAAAUUUAGUAAAGAAUAUUCAACUCCAAACAAAAGAAAACUAUACUAAGUGCGUCAUUUGACUUCCAGGCAGGUGCUCGCCAUCUCCAUCUCCUUUUUUUUUUUUUUUUUUAAUGAGAACAUUUAAGAUCUAGUCUCUUAGCUAAUUUUAAUUAUGUAACUAUAUUUCAAAUUUAAAAUAUAUGACAUAAUUAUACAGCAUAAUAUAUAAUUAUACCUCUAUUCUUAUGUAACUUUUGGAAAUGUAUCCUAAUGACCAAAUCUGGACAGCCUAUCACAUUUCAUCUUGAAAGUUUGCUACAAAAAAAACAUUUUUUUGGUUUGACUGACAGGAAUAAGAACAGAAUGGCUAGAUAAAGACUUCUU